UAGGGAAUCUUCGGCAAUGGACGAAAGUCUGACCGAGCAACGCCGCGUGAGUGAAGAAGGUUUUCGGAUCGUAAAACUCUGUUGUUAGAGAAGAACAAGGGUGAGAGUAACUGUUCACCCCUUGACGGUAUCUAACCAGAAAGCCACGGCUAACUACGUGCCNG
rnacentral:rRNA from 1 species